ACGGCACUUUUAGCAUUUUCAGUAACCUGACUUUUAAUCAGGUUGUCGGGGGUUCGAAUCCCCCGUGCU
rnacentral:tRNA from 1 species